rnacentral:lncRNA from 1 species
CGAGAGCACACACUGAAUGAAAAGAUUAUUCUGGUAAAUUGAACCUUCAGAUCAAGUGAGCAAUAACACUUGGGAGAAAUAUGAUUAUGGGGUUGGUUUUAGAAUAGUUAGUUAACUUCUUUCAAAUGAUUUAAUAAGUGGUCACAAAUAGGUAUAACUAAGCUAUUAUGUGGCAAUCAAAACCACAUAUUCAAUGACCAAACUAAAAUACAUCGGUGAAGCAUAGUCAUGGACAAAAAUCAAUGCAAAAAGAGAUACUUGCUAGUUCUAUAGACUAUUAGUUCAUUUUUUAAGAUUUUAUUAAGUUAUAUAUUCUUGUAAUUUCCACCUUUUCUUAAACUUUUGUGGUAAUUUCAACUAUGGCAGCAGAAAAACAGCUGAUAAAC